rnacentral:rRNA from 1 species
AUGAGGUAGAUAGGUUUGAGGUGGAAGUGCAGUAAUGCAUGGAGCUGACAAAUACUAAUCGGUCGAGGGCUUAUCCUG